CAGUCACCUAAUGACCACAAGCCAAAUCAAUCAGAAUCAGAAUGAGCUUUAUUGCCAGGUAUGUUUACACAUACGAGAAAUUUGUUUUCGUGACAGAAGCAAAUCAAGGCAAUGCAAUCCCUUUCUCAUGCCUCCAUCUGAAAAGUUGGAGGAAAAAAAUAAAUAAAUAAAAGAGUCCAAAUAAUGACCCCUAUAACAUAUAGUGUUCCAAAUGUUAAGCGACUUCAGCUUAUGAUGGGUCCAACUGGUAUUUUUAUGGUGUAAGGGCUGUGUCGGCAUAAGAAAAAGCCAUGCUUUGUUUAGUGAUGUCAGUGCUGUGGCACUGGCUGGGGACAAACUGCUGCAUGCGCAGCUCCUCGUUAGUAUAGUGGACAGUAUCUCCGCCUGUCACGCGGAAGACCGGGGUUCGAUUCCCCGACGGGGAGAGCUAGCUCUUUUCUGCUUGCUGGACGACCAAUCCAAAAGUUUUUGGCGCAACCAGGGCUCACAGAAGGAGUACGGCUACGAUGUCAGCCCGAGCCAAAGGAAAUGCGUUGGCCGGGAAUCGAACCCGGGUCAACUGCUUGGAAGGCAGCUAUGCUCACCACUAUACCACCAACGCAGGCAGAAGGUGCCAGAAAUACAGGUCACUCACAAAAGCUCCCCUUCACGGAAAGACAGCUAUGCUCACCACUAUACCUCCGGCGCAGGCAGAAGACACCAACUUGCGCUGUCAGUAAGAAGGCUCGAAGCGCAUGAGUCAAUGAUAGGGCUAGAGGAGCUAAUGAGAUCUUUGUCUGGACCCGUCAGUAAAGAGAGCAGUCCAGAGUUUGGAUCCCGUCACGCAGAAGACACCAACUUGCGCUGUCAGUAAGAAGGCUCGAAGCGCAUGAGUCAAUGAUAGGGCUAGAGGAGCUAAUGAGAUCUUUGUCUGGACCCGUCAGUAAAGAGAGCAGUCCAGAGUUUGGAUCCCGUCACGUACAAAAAAAGCGCUGUCUUUCCAUACUGGCUAAAUAAAUACAAAGUGGUGACGCCGGAAACACAGAGGCUGCAAACACAGACGAUGACCAGUUGCACGUCCUCCCACCGUGUGUUGGCAGAUGGCCAAAUUCACUCUGCUCUUGACAUUCCGGUGUAGCUCUGCUGUGAGCAGAGCCCCCCAAAAAAAUACAGGUCACUCGCAAAAGCUCCCCUCCACGGAAAUCUUUAGUAAAAGGCGAAAGAUUUAUGCGACAAUGAAGAGAAACUCGAGCUGUAUCCCCACCCCCCUUGGGCCUGUGCGCUGCCAGUGGUAAGCCACUAUUCUCACCUAGGGUCAUCAAUGGUGAAGACACCUGCCCACAUGCAUUUCGUCACCCCCCUCACUCCAAAGGGGAGGAGUAAAGGUCACAAAAAAUUCCCGUCAGUCACCUAAUGACCACAAGCCAAAUCAAUCAGAAUCAGAAUGAGCUUUAUUGCCAGGUAUGUUUACACAUACGAGAAAUUUGUUUUCGUGACAGAAGCAAAUCAAGGCAAUGCAAUCCCUUUCUCAUGCCUCCAUCUGAAAAGUUGGAGGAAAAAAAUAAAUAAAUAAAAGAGUCCAAAUAAUGACCCCUAUAACAUAUAGUGUUCCAAAUGUUAAGCGACUUCAGCUUAUGAU
ensembl:lncRNA